rnacentral:lncRNA from 1 species
AUCCUUGCUGACUGCAGUCACUGUUUCAUUGAGUCAGAAGACAAUGAUGUUAUAAUUCAUCUAGAUUUAUUUUCUCCCUCUUGCUGCAUUUUCCAGCAAAAUGUUAAGUAGCAGGAGAGAGUACUCCCUUUAAACUUUACAUUUUUUGAAGUCUGUAAGCAUAGAAAGAUGCUCACUGUUCAGUGCUCCUCCACAAAGAAUCCUCCUUAAUCCUGAUGGUGUGCGUUCAUCCCUGGGUUGAGCUUCCCUAUGCAGAAGAACUUUGUAUUGUUUCACAUUCCUUCAUAAAUGCACAUAGGCUGGAAAGUAUGGUUUCUGGGGAAAAGAGCUCGCUAGCUGAGCAAGUUCAAAAAGAUCUUAGCAGUUCCCCAGCAAUUACUCAUUUCAUCAAUCCUCUGUAUUUAAGGAGAUAA